GUUGUUGCACCAUCCCAUAGCCUGAAGAGAAGGGUAAUCGUCACUGAGCUCUCCCUUGCGGCCCAGGAAGUUCUCCCUUUCAUAGAUGGUCAUUCUGCACUCCCUGUGGUUCUAGAUAGAAUCAAACAAAAUGACAUGCACAGGAAAUGGGUCUAAAGGAGGUCAUUCUCUCGAUGUGGUAAGCAUUGCUUCCCCCAAAGGCAUCGCACUGAGGGUACUCUCCGCGCUCCAGCACAAACUGGUGACCCUGGUAAGAGGCAUGCUCGUAGCCCACCCACCUGAAGAGAAACGCAGGGUAAAAACAGGAGCCUUGGCAGAACUUGUGGGCCACUGUGUUGUUAGAUUUGGAGUCACGGUUAGACAAAAUAAUUGGCACAAACCUCGGGAAUGAUGUAAACUAUCGAACAAAGACUUUGGAGAAAACACUCACGCUCCGCUCUCCACUCUCAAUGAGCGCACGGAUUCGAAACCGAACUCCAU